UUGAAGGAUAAUUUGUUUUGCUUCACAUUGCCUAAAUGUUCUGCAGUUUUAUCUACACCGUGAGUGAACCAACUUCCUUCUCCUUUUUCAAAGGUCAACUCUCAGACCUUUGAAAAAGGAGAGGGAAGAGAGAUGAAGAGGAGUGGCAAGUGUGAAUUCCUCCAUAAGGAACCCCCCUGAUAUGGUGUGAGAGAGUGGGAGCACAGCUGUUCCUGCCUCCAGAACUGGAAGAUGGAAGGCUUACUCUACUCGUUUAAGCAGAGCUUUUGGAAUCAGUGUUCCACCUUAGGGAGCCACAGCUGAAGUACAGUGGGACUCCCAGUGAAUAAUUCAGAGAUGUCAAAACAGAAACUCAGAGAUGUUAAGCUACUUGUUCCAGGUUGCAGAAUCGGUGCCUUUGGAUGAAGAAGUCAUGGGCGUCGGGACAGCCAGUGGACCAUUGACUGUUGAGUUGGAGGCUUUGGCUGGAUACAAUGAAC